rnacentral:tRNA from 1 species
GGAUCUGUAGCUCAGCUGGUAGAGCGCCGGGUUGUACCUGGAGGUCGCGGGUUCGAGUCCCGCCUGGUCCA